UGGACUUAGAGCAGAGCUUGACACCAGACCUGCCAACGGAAUCGUCCACGCACAGAGGCCCGCUUGCCGUGCUGUUGGCACAGGAAGCCCUCUGGAGUACGAGAUGUCAAGUCAACUCAAGAUUUAUCCACGAGACAAGAAGGAGAAGCUCCCUGUUGUAGUGCCGGAGGGGAGGCUCUAAUGAGUGUGAAGUCAAUUGAUGAAACCGCUCCGUGUAUGGGGAACAAGAUGCUCUCUUCGCAUUCAAAAUGCUCCAUGCCUAUUGAAGAGUCACCUCCUGGAGGCAGGAAAGCAGGGCCCUCGGUGGACGCAUUGCUACAACUCCACAAGCUGCAAGACAGGACACGUGGGCCAAUUUCUGCAUCAUGUUUACAAUCUCCAGUUUUCAGAGCUCAGCCUCCAAAAUGUCUGAGGGCAUAACUUCCUGCUGUUACUACUUCCAUCGGCUGGGCCUAUUGAAAUUCUUCCCCUGGCCGCGUGAGAGAAAGGAACACGCGGAGACCGAAGCAGAAAGAGAAAAUCUUACUGGAGAAAACCAUGCCAAGCCUGAGAAUGUUGUGUACCCGAGGCCAAGCUCAACAAGGCCAGGGAACUUUCCGUUAACUGUCUUACUCUGAUUCUUCUCUGAAAGGAUUUACAGUUAGCCAUAGGUCAGAAUGCUCCAUGAUGGCAUCACUUGAAUAGUUUUGAGAGUAUUCCACUUGUAUUGAGAAUUUACAGAUCUAAUGAAAAAGCUGAUGGAUUCAUAAAAUGCUGACCUAAGAUCAUGCAGAACAAGAAUUACAAUCAUGGGAUUGUAUCAACUCAUGAGGAUGAUUAAAAGUUUUCUUUGAA